GUUGAUAAGGUUAAGUGAAUAAGGGCGCACGGUGGAUGCCUUGGCACUAGGAGCCGAUGAAGGACGGGACUAACACCGAUAUGCUUUGGGGAGCUGUAAGUAAGCUAUGAUCCAGAGAUUUCCGAAUGGGGGAACCCAAUAUCUUUUAUAGGAUAUUACUUUUCAGUGAAUACAUAGCUGAUUAGAGGUAGACGCAGAGAACUGAAACAUCUUAGUACCUGCAGGAAGAGAAAGAAAAUUCGAUUCCCUGAGUAGCGGCGAGCGAAACGGGAAGAGCCCAAACCAACAAGCUUGCUUGUUGGGGUUGUAGGACUCCGAUAUGGUAGUCUGUUAGUAUAGUUGAAGGAUUUGGAAAAUUCCGCUAAAGAGGGUGAAAGCCCCGUAGACGAAAUGCUGACAACACCUAGGAGGAUCCUGAGUACGGCGGAACACGAGAAAUUCCGUCGGAAUCCGCGGGGACCAUCCCGCAAGGCUAAAUACUCCCUAGUGACCGAUAGUGAACCAGUACCGUGAGGGAAAGGUGAAAAGCACCCCGGAAGGGGAGUGAAAUAGAUCCUGAAACCGUGUGCCUACAACAAGUCAAAGCUCGUUAAUGAGUGAUGGCGUGCCUUUUGUAGAAUGAACCGGCGAGUUACGAUUGCAUGCGAGGUUAAGUCGAAGAGACGGAGCCGCAGCGAAAGCGAGUCUGAAUAGGGCGAAUGAGUAUGUAGUCGUAGACCCGAAACCAUGUGAUCUACCCAUGUCCAGGUUGAAGGUGCGGUAAAACGCACUGGAGGACCGAACCCACGUACGUUGAAAAGUGCGGGGAUGAGGUGUGGGUAGCGGAGAAAUUCCAAACGAACUUGGAGAUAGCUGGUUCUCUCCGAAAUAGCUUUAGGGCUAGCCUCGGAAUUGAGAAUGAUGGAGGUAGAGCACUGUUUGGACUAGGGGCCCAUCUCGGGUUACCGAAUUCAGAUAAACUCCGAAUGCCAUUCAUUUAUAUCCGGGAGUCAGACUGCGAGUGAUAAGAUCCGUAGUCGAAAGGGAAACAGCCCAGACCACCAGCUAAGGUCCCAAAAUAUAUGUUAAGUGGAAAAGGAUGUGGGGUUGCACAGACAACUAGGAUGUUGGCUUAGAAGCAGCCACCAUUUAAAGAGUGCGUAAUAGCUCACUAGUCGAGUGACCCUGCGCCGAAAAUGUACCGGGGCUAAACAUAUUACCGAAGCUGUGGACUACACCAUUAGGUGUAGUGGUAGGAGAGCGUUCUAAGGGCGUUGAAGGUCGAUCGUGAGGACGGCUGGAGCGCUUAGAAGUGAGAAUGCCGGUAUGAGUAGCGAAAGACAGGUGAGAAUCCUGUCCACCGUAUGACUAAGGUUUCCUGGGGAAGGCUCGUCCGCCCAGGGUUAGUCGGGACCUAAGCCGAGGCCGAUAGGCGUAGGCGAUGGACAACAGGUUGAUAUUCCUGUACCAGUUGUUUUUGUUUGAGCAAUGGAGGGACGCAGUAGGCUAAGGAAUGCAUGCGAUUGGAAGUGCAUGUCCAAGCAAUGAGUCUUGAGUAGAGUUAAAUGCUUUACUCUUUAAGGACAAGUUGUGACGGGGAGCGAAAUAAUAGUAGCGAAGUUCCUGAUGUCACACUGCCAAGAAAAGCUUCUAGUGAGAAAACAACUGCCCGUACCGUAAACCGACACAGGUAGUCGAGGAGAGUAUCCUAAGGUGAGCGAGCGAACUCUCGUUAAGGAACUCGGCAAAAUGACCCCGUAACUUCGGGAGAAGGGGUGCUGACUUCGGUCAGCCGCAGUGAAUAGGCCCAAGCGACUGUUUAUCAAAAACACAGGUCUCUGCAAAAUCGUAAGAUGAAGUAUAGGGGCUGACGCCUGCCCGGUGCUGGAAGGUUAAGAGGAUGGGUUAGCUUCGGCGAAGCUCAGAAUUGAAGCCCCAGUAAACGGCGGCCGUAACUAUAACGGUCCUAAGGUAGCGAAAUUCCUUGUCGGGUAAGUUCCGACCCGCACGAAAGGCGUAACGAUUUGGGCACUGUCUCAACGAGAGACUCGGUGAAAUUUUAGUACCUGUGAAGAUGCAGGUUACCCGCGACAGGACGGAAAGACCCCAUGGAGCUUUACUGUAGUUUGAUAUUGAGUGUUUGUACCACAUGUACAGGAUAGGUAGGAGCCGAUGAGACCGGA
rnacentral:rRNA from 1 species